rnacentral:misc_RNA from 1 species
GAUGAAGAACGCAGCGAAAUGCGAUACGUAAUGUGAAUUGCAGAAUUCAGUGAAUCAUCGAGUCUUUGAACGCACAUUGCGCCCUCUGGUAUUCCGGAGGGCAUGCCUGUCCGAGCGUCAUUGCUGCCCUCAAGCACGGCUUGUGUGUUAGGCCCCGUCCUCCGCUCGCGGGGGACGGGCCUGAAAGGCAGCGGCGGCACCGCGUCCGGUCCUCGAGCGUAUGGGGCUUUGUCACCCGCUCUGUAGGCCCGGCCGGCGCCUGCCGAUCAACCACACUUUUAUUCAGGUUGACCUCGGAUCAGGUAGGGAUACCCGCUGAACUUAAGCAUAUCAAAAGCGGAGGA